GGAGACGUCUGACCAAAGUAGAGCAGGUCCAGGAUGCAGGACACCCAUGUGGUUCCUGAGGAGGAGGGAGCCUGGUGAUCCCAACGUUUCAGCCUGGUGACCACAGUUUCAUUUCUGGACUCACCUGCUUUGGGGGUGCAGAGUCUCACAUGUCCAACCAAAUUUCAUAUCACCACCUCUUAUCAGAAGCCACAACAGAAUAUGUUUCCCAACACCAUCUGUACCACUGGAGUCUCGCUAUCUGAGAAGAAGGAGCCAUGAGGUCAAAAACAAAGAGGGACACAGCUCCUCGGCCUUGGUUUGGGAGCCAGAUAGGAGCCAGUUUCAGGGAGGGCAGGCAGAGACAACCGUAGAGCUGACUAAGAGAUGUGUCAAAUACAUUAAACUGAUGUACAACACGACAAACAUUGGAACAUUCAAUGUAAUCAUAGCAAGGCACAAACUGUAUGACACAUGGGUGAGCGUUCAUAGUUUUAUUCAGUCCUGCUCUGGACCCAUGGCUCUGCUGAGACCACUGAACAUGACAUCAUCCUACAGUAAGUACUUCUAGCUCCCUGUGAAUCCUACCCUGGCCUAAAGCCACAAUAUGUGGGUUCAUUGUCUCUGUAGUGCACCUGGGUACAGACGGACCUGACUCUAGUAUCUGAUAAAAUGCUCUUCAGUGUCAUAAAAUGUGUCUUUUCUCAUCAGUUAAAGACUCAUUUUCACUAAUAAAGACAAACAUCAGUGUUGUUCAGAUCUCAGAGCGAAACUGAAGUGUGGAGUCCUUCAUCUUUUUCCUGUAGUCUUCAUCAAACUCUUCAUUCUGAGCCACCGUGAAGUGGUUUUUCCAGUCGCCAACCUUCCCUGCAAACCACAGAGCAGCAGUCAGCUGUUUGAUCGGACUGUAAACAAACCUUUGUAACAUCUAGUGUCAGACCAAACCUUUCCUCAUGAAGGGAGAAAUUUUGAAAUCCAUCACUGGGACUGUGGAAUAAUUGGCCAUGCUGUUCUUCUUCAUUUUGUCGAACUGCACUUCACCUGUAAUUUGCUUCUUCACCUCUGCUGACGGAGACAAACCAAGAAAACUGCAGAGUUUGUCUAUUUCCCGCCCAGUAUCCUGAAAAUACAAGAUUGUCAUUAGCAUAUUUUAACCAGAAAGAGCAGAGCUGGAAAACAGCUUGAAAGGGAAAUUAACAACAACUACCUCAACCAGGUCUUCAAAGAACAUGUAAUGGAUGUUUGAGUAUGUUUGUUUCUUCUCCCACCAUCCACUCACAUGGUCGUACCAGGAUCCAAACACCACUGACGCCGUAGAUCAACUCAUUUUAUUACUACUAUUUUAUUAUUAUUGUACAAAUUAUCUUAAAUGAAUAGUAUAUUAUUAUUUACUCACGCUUUCCCUUUAUGAACCUUUGGAAGUAGUCUUUCCAGUCUCCAGCCUCUGGCUGAACGGUGUUCAUUCGAUCAAAGUGAAAAUAAGACACCAUGUUGUCUUUGGCGUUUCGCGCCACAUAGACCAUCUACACAGACAAACGAACUAAAUGUCACCACAUGUGAGUGAGGACAGAGGGUGGGUAAAAGUAAUCCAUCCUGGAGGACAGACUCAAGACCAGUAAAGGUGGAGCCCAAACUGGAGACCAGCAUUGAUCAGUCACAUUAAGGAGCCAUUGGCAGAAACGGGUGUUAGAAAUACAGCAAUGUUCAUGGUGUUGACCAGCCUAGAGACGCCUAGAGGACUGCUGGUGUCUCUGCACAGUCACAUCCAAGAGCUGCAAGCAAUGUGGAGUCAGGAUGGGGGAAUAGGGGGAAACAGGACUUGUGGAUCUAGGCAUGCUGGGAGAUGUAGUAAUGGAAACAAGAUGGUGGUGUUUACAAAAUGCGGUCUGCCGUGUGGUCUGGAAAUGGAGUAAGGGCAGAGGCAGUGAGGCAGGUCAAGGUCCGAAGCCUGUUCGCAUUUCAGAACAUAAAGAUAAGAACAGAAUGGAUGACUGUAAAGUAAAGAACAGCAGCCAGAAAGUGAGAGGUGAACCUCUGAAGUCCAUAUGGACUAUACAGCAAAGCUACAGUCACUGAAUAAAGAAGAAGAAACUAAAUUCAGAAAGUCAGAAGCCAAAGUCGUUCUCUUAUGUGGAAGAUCAUACAAACAACCAUCUACUUGCUUUACCCUGCAGUUCUGCUCCCAGAAGGACUUUGGUACAAACUGGACUGGAAAAUGAGUCUUAAUGAGUCGAGGAGUCGUGGGGAGCUUUUCUGCCUGAUCGGUUCCUACUGUACAUAGAAAGUAGUAAUCACAAUGUAAUUAAAUGAAUGCUACUAUUCAUCAUCACAGUAAAAUGCUAAACGUAACUAUAUACAAAACUGCAUAAAUGGUCCAAAACAAGAUUAUAGGUUCACAUUAUAUCUCAUGUUUCUGAUGUUAAGGGCUGCUCGAACCUAAAGCCACAGAAGGGGCAAAGAUCUCCAGGAAAGGCACUCGUUCAUGGAUGGGGAUGGACGUCUGACGCUCUGGAGACGUCUGACCAAAGUAGAGCAGGUCCAGGAUGCAGGACACCCAUGUGGUUCCUGAGGAGGAGGGAGCCUGGUGAUCCCAACGUUUCAGCCUGGUGACCACAGUUUCAUUUCUGGACUCACCUGCUUUGGGGGUGCAGAGUCUCACAUGUCCAACCAAAUUUCAUAUCACCACCUCUUAUCAGAAGCCACAACAGAAUAUGUUUCCCAACACCAUCUGUACCACUGGAGUCUCGCUAUCUGAGAAGAAGGAGCCAUGAGGUCAAAAACAAAGAGGGACACAGCUCCUCGGCCUUGGUUUGGGAGCCAGAUAGGAGCCAGUUUCAGGGAGGGCAGGCAGAGACAACCGUAGAGCUGACUAAGAGAUGUGUCAAAUACAUUAAACUGAUGUACAACACGACAAACAUUGGAACAUUCAAUGUAAUCAUAGCAAGGCACAAACUGUAUGACACAUGGGUGAGCGUUCAUAGUUUUAUUCAGUCCUGCUCUGGACCCAUGGCUCUGCUGAGACCACUGAACAUGACAUCAUCCUACAGUAAGUACUUCUAGCUCCCUGUGAAUCCUACCCUGGCCUAAAGCCACAAUAUGUGGGUUCAUUGUCUCUGUAGUGCACCUGGGUACAGACGGACCUGACUCUAGUAUCUGAUCAAAUGCUCUUCAGUGUCAUAAAAUGUGUCUUUUCUCAUCAGUUAAAGACUCAUUUUCACUAAUUAAGACAAACAUCAGUGUUGUUCAGAUCUCAGAGUGAAACUGAAGUGUGGAGUCCUUCAUCUUUUUCCUGUAGUCUUCAUCAAACUCUUCAUUCUGAGCCACCGUGAAGUGGUUUUUCCAGUCGCCAACCUUCCCUGCAAACCACAGAGCAGCAGUCAGCUGUUUGAUCGGACUGUAAACAAACCUUUGUAACAUCUAGUGUCAGACCAAACCUUUCCUCAUGAAGGGAGAAAUUUUGAAAUCCAUCACUGGGACUGUGGAAUAAUUGGCCAUGCUGUUCUUCUUCAUUUUGUCGAACUGCACUUCACCUGUAAUUUGCUUCUUCACCUCUGCUGACGGAGACAAACCAAGAAAACUGCAGAGUUUGUCUAUUUCCCGCCCAGUAUCCUGAAAAUACAAGAUUGUCAUUAGCAUAUUUUAACCAGAAAGAGCAGAGCUGGAAAACAGCUUGAAAGGGAAAUUAACAACAACUACCUCAACCAGGUCUUCAAAGAACAUGUAAUGGAUGUUUGAGUAUGUUUGUUUCUUCUCCCACCAUCCACUCACAUGGUCGUACCAGGAUCCAAACACCACUAAAAACAUAGAUUAACACCUUACAACUUUUUUUUCUACUAUUUUAUUAUUAUUAUUAUAUAUUAUAUGAUAUUAAUAUAUAUUAAGUUUUUGCUCACGCUUUCCCUUGAUGAACCUCUGGAAAUAGUCUUUCCAGUCUCCAGCCUCUGGCUGAACUGUGUUCAUGCGAUCAAAGUGAAAAUAAGACACCAUGUUGUCUUUGGCGUUUCGCGCCACAUAGACCAUCUACACAAAACAGAAAACUACAGUCACGGAAUGAAGAAGUAGAAGACAAGAAGUUUAUUUAAGCAACAAUAAUAGCUAUAAGAAUAAUGUUCCCGACUACUUUCACUUCUUAGCCUGCUAUGAUUAUUGAAAAUAAAAGUCAGCUACUGCAGUACUUAAAAAACAUUUAUUUUUCAAAUUUGCACCACAUCAGGAUUAAACACAAACCAUCAUUGCUAUGAAUGGGUCAAGGAUGGUCACUCUACCCUGCAGUUCUGCUCCCAGAAGGACUUUGGCACAAACUGGACUGGAAAAUGAGUCUUAAUGAGUCGAGGAGUCGUGAGGAGUCUUUCUGCCUGAUCAGUACCUACUGUACAUAGAAAAAAGUAAUCACAAUGUAAUUAAAUGAAUGCUGCAUACUACUAUUCAUCAUCACAGUAAUACAAACGGCUAAAAGCUACAAUUCUGCCUUGUUUAAAUAAAAAAAAAAACUGCAUGAUCCAAAACAGGAUUAUAGGUUCACAUCAUUGUAUUUCAUGUUUCUGAUGUUACAGUAUGUGCUGCUCAAACCUAAUGCUCUAGAAGGGACAAAGAGCUCCAGGAAAGGCACUCGUUCAUGGAUGGGAAUGGACGUCUGACGCUCUGGAGACGUCUGACCAAAGUAGAGCAGGUCCAGGAUGCAGGACACCCAUGUGGUUCCUGAGGAGAGGGAGCAGAUCUAUAGCUCUAUGAAACAUUUGCAGCGACUUCCUGUGUUCGUGGAGUCACCUGCUUUGGGGUAAGUAGCAAUGAGAAUAUCAUCUGGCCUGGCCUGAAAGUUUUGGACAGCCUCCCAGUUGUCUGUGAAGAGGUGACUCAUUGAGACUCCGUGGAAAUUGAACAGCUCCGGCCUCGAAGAUUUCUUAAAAAAGUAAUGAAGAAAAUACAUAAAUUUAAUAAUGGAGACCUAAUCAAGAGGAAAAAUCAAGUGUAAUCUGCAUAACGUCAUCCAUUGAGUUCAGGUCAAAUUAUAGAUUUAAGAAGAAAUGUUGUAAGACUUUCUUAUUAAUGUUGGCACCAGAGCCGAGCAUUGAUUCAGGGAGCCUCAGCAGGCUCAAGGAGCCCCUUGUUUGUCGCCUCCACAGGUGUCUUCUGGGUCGUCAUCAGAAAUCUUCCCAGUCCAUCUCCUUCCCCAGAGCCAAAGUCUUUCGGCAGCGACUCACUGAGGGCAAGAGGGAGCGACGACAACACAAAUGGCUGUUUCCACUGCAGUCCAAGCGCGCUAGUGAGCGGAUCAUCAGUCAAAUCCUCCGUGGAAAGACCACCUGUCAAAGUUACUAUAGGGGUUGCUCCUUUCCACAAGACAAUUCUGGUCCUUAUUGACUUAGGGGGUCAAACACAAAUUUCAUGAUGGAAUGUUUGGCUGGGGAUUGCCACCUAUGCCCCCCCCCAUUUAGGUCACGUCACUCAAGCUCUUUCCAGGUUCCACGCCACCCAGGGGGAAGGCUAUUCUCAUUGUCCAGACCCAAAUGGAAGGCCAUGGGGAGAUACAAGACUCUUUGGCUGCUGGUAUUAUUCAUCCAUCUUCCUCACCUGCUGGAGCAGGGUUUUUGUGGGUAAAAUCAUGGGGGGUUAAGGCCAUGCACUAACUACAGGAAGCUUAAUAAUGUUACUAUUAAUAAACAAUAUAAAUUUCUAUCCCAAAUAUUUCUGUAAAUUUAGCUCUGUAGCCUUCUCCUUACCCCAACUCAUCUACUCAAAGGUCAGAUUCAUGUGGAAUUCCAAGGCCCAGGAGGCCUUUGAAAGAAUUAAGACUCUUUGUACUUCAGCUCCCAUCAUCACCCUGCCUGACCUUCACCUGCUGUUCAUGCUUGAGGUUGACGCUACCUCAGGGUGCAGUGCUCUCCCAGGGCUCUAUGGGUGACUCCAAGCUACACCACUGUGCUUUCUUUUCAAGGAAACUCUUCAGCAUAGAGAGGAUCUAUGAUGUAGGGAAGAGGGAGCUGUUGGCAGUUAAAUUGGCACUUGAAGAAUGGAGGCAUUUGUUGGAGGGGGCCAAACAUCCAUUCUCUGCUUAGCUUUGAAUCCCAAUCGAGGGAAAUUUGAACCUGAAAAAACUGAGAGCAUCUAAACAAAUUUAAAUGAGAGCUGUUCAAUCCUUUGGGGUAUAUGUAAAUGGUUGCCUUUUGGAAAGGUUACAUUCUGUAGUUUUCACCAAAACUGUCAGAUUCACUCUAAGUCUAAAUGGUAAAUAGUUAUCUACUUUACAACACAGAGAAAGAAAUUAUCUUUGCCUGGAUUUUUCCCUUAUAAAAUAAACAAACAUUUCCCUGGUUCAUGGUCAAAAAGGGAUUCAAGGAAAGAAGUCUUGUGUAUUUAUAUAUCAAGAAAUACAUCAAAUAGCAUUUAAAAAAACAAUAUAUGGGACCGGGGCAGCACAGUGGGCAGCACUGUCGCCUCACAGCUAGACGGUCGUGGGUUUGAUUCCCCGAGGCGGACCGGGUGCCUUUCUGUAUGGAGUUUGCAUGUUCUCCCUACUCACUCAGCAUGAUCCAGGUAUAUCCUCACAGCUUGUCUGUGAUACUAUACUUUCCUUGUUCCCCCUUUUCCUUCGGCAAAGAUAGAUCUACAUUCAUUGGCAAUACUAUUGCAAAACUUAAAUACUGUCAAUCGGUUCUGAAGUCUAUUGUUUGGGGGUCCUCUCUGAAUUUUACUUUUAUGCAAGUGUACGAAUUUGUUACAUAGUAUUAAUAUUUAGAUUAUAGAUUUAUUUUAAAGUCAAAUUAGAAAAAGAUUUAAAAAGAAGUGUGUUAUAUAAAUUUAAAGAAAAGCAAUGUUGCUUUAUUCUUUACCAAAGAAAAUCAUGAAAGUGAAAAACAGUGAAGCUUUAAAGAAAAGAAAACCAAAUUUGCAAACCUACCUUAUCUGGAUCUAACAACAUAAUGGUCACUGGUUUCACACUAGUCUAACACUCUUCGCCAGUUGAAGCUUUUACAACUGCUGUUAGCCUUAAUCUUCUCCCUGCUGGUUAUACAUCGCUGCCUCCUUGGCUUAGUUCCAAGUCCAAGUCAAGGUAAUUCCCUCCCUGUUUGUUCUGAUCUGGGAUCAUUGAUUAGAUAGAAACAGGAAGUGGUACGAAUCUGGGCAUUCUGGGAGAUGUAGUAACUGAAACUAAACCGUUGUUUUGAGACAGAGGUUAAUUAUGUGUCAUGUUCUUUAUUUGGUGGUAACAUGUUCGUGGUGUGAUAAAAAACAGAUGAUGGGUGUGAUGGAAAUUUUCUUAUAAAGAAGCUAAUGAGAGAGUUGUAUUUUGUGUAAUUUAUUGUCAUAAAAGAAAACAAUAAUAGGGAAAGCAAAUCAAUUUGCAUAUCACCACCUCUUCACAGAAGCCACAACAGAAUAUGUUUUCCAACACCAUCUGUACCACUGGAGUCUCGCUAUCUGAGAAGAAGGAGCCAUGAGGUCAAAAACAAAGAGGGACACAGCUCCUCGGCCUUGGUUUGGGAGCCAGAUAGGAGCCAGUUUCAGGGAGGUGUGGGAAAUGUUGUGUUUGUCAUGAGAUGCUGUGCCUCUGGCUGAGGGUUGUUCCUGGGGGGUCAUCAAGCAUUUGGUUGUCAAAUUGUGGGGGUUUCACUGUAGUGACCACAGGAACAUUGUUAAAGGAAGUAAAGGGGGGUUUACUGCACUCAUGUAUAUCAAAGACCAGUCAACAGCUCAUGUGGGGGUUUGUAACAGGGUAUAAAUACAGGUCUUGUGUCCUCAGUCCUUCAGUGGAUACUUUGUACAUAGUGAGAUGUGCCUUACGUCUUAGAUGUAAUUGUGAUCCACUCCAUGUCGACAUGAGAGUAAACUUUGAGAUGGUUUAUCACA